UGUCCGACAGUCGAAUUAGAGCGGAAAUAGGCAAAAAUCCAAAUUUCCGAAAUGUAUACCAUAUACACGGCGCACGACGAUACGUAUCGCACGAUAAAUUCUAAACUCGUAGCCAGAGCUCGAUUUCCGUAAUGGAAGAACAAUGAAGAGUGCUUCAGGAAACAAUACGAUAAUACGGGCGCCUGUUACGUGAGCGGAGCAGGAAUAGAGCAGUAGUAAAUGUCAUCGGAGUCGCGCAGUAAAGUUGCCAUUAACUCGUUAUACGUAUCGUGGAAUAAAAUGCACUGCAAUACGGGCAUACAUAAACUAAGCUCGGAUGACCAUAAUAUUUCUUCAUUUAAUCACAGGAAGAGGAACUUGAUGUGCGGGGCUGAAUAUUAAAGGAUAUAAGCUAAUGUUCCAAUGGAAACACAUCAACGAUAUCUACCUCGUCACGACUUCGACGAUCUCUUCAGGAAAACGAAGAAAAAUACAUCUCAUGAAAUUCACCCUGCCACAGCUAGAUGCUAUAAAUAAUUCAUGCCCUUUUCAUAUCUCCUGAGAAUGAAAGGUAUUCGAAGCAGAAAGAAAUUAUGUUUUUUAUAAAAUUUUUAAUCUUAUCAGUUUUUAAAAACUUACUGAAUA